GACAGAGGUGCCGAGCGUUAGGCGGAAUCACUGGGCUUAAAGCGUGUGUAGGCGGAUUGGUAAGUACCUUGUGAAAUCCCACAGCUUAACUGUGGAACUGCUCGGUAUACUGCUGAUCUUGAGCCACUCAGGGGCUACCGGAACAAAUGGUGGAGCGGUGAAAUGCGUAGAUAUCAUUUGGAACGCCAAUGGUGAAAACAGGUAGCUGGGGGUGUGCUGACGCUGAGACACGAAAGCCAGGGGAGCAAACGGG
rnacentral:rRNA from 1 species